rnacentral:misc_RNA from 1 species
GAUGAAGAACGCAGCGAAAUGCGAUAAGUAGUGUGAAUUGCAGAAUUCAGUGAAUCAUCGAAUCUUUGAACGCACAUUGCGCCCCUUGGUAUUCUAUGGGGCAUGCCUGUUCGAGCGUCAUUUGUACCUUCAAGCUCUGCUUGGUGUUGGGUGUUUGUCUCGCCUCUGCGUGUAGACUCGCCUCAAAAUAAUUGGCAGCCGGCGUAUUGAUUUCGGAGCGCAGUACAUCUCGCGCUUUGCACUCAUAACGACGACGUCCAAAAGUACAUUUUUACACUCUUGACCUCGGAUCAGGUAGGGAUACCCGCUGAACUUAAGCAUAUCAAUAAGCGGAGGA